rnacentral:rRNA from 1 species
GACGAACGCUGGCGGCGUGCUUAACACAUGCAAGUCGAACGCUGAAGACCUGGCUUUUGUCGGGGUGGGAGAGUGGCGCACGGGUGAGUAACAUGGGUGUAACCUGCCCUCUUCUUUGGGAUAACGCCCGGAAACGGGUGCUUAUACCGGAUAUUCACUGGCCUUCGCAUGGGGGCUGGUGGAAUGGUUUGUUAUGGUUGGGGAUGGGCUCGCGGCCUAUCUGCCUGUUGGUGGGGUGAUGGCCUCACAAGGCUUUGACGGGUAGCCGGCCUGAGAGGGUGACCGGUGACAUUGGGACGGAGAUGCGGCCCAGGCGAGGACGGGGGGGAGCAGUGGGGAAAAUUGCAGAAUGGGCGAAAGCGUGAUGCAGCGACGGUGCGUGAGGGAUGGAGGCCGUCGGGCUGUAAACCUCUUUCGCACAGGGUCAGGCAGCAACUGGGGGUUGUGGUGAGGGUAGUGGGUAAAGAAGCGCCGGCUAACUACGUG